rnacentral:rRNA from 1 species
UACGGAGGGUGCAAGCGUUAUCCGGAUUCACUGGGUUUAAAGGGUGCGUAGGCGGGUAAGUAAGUCCGUGGUGAAAUCUCUGAGCUUAACUCAGAAACUGCCGUGGAUACUAUUUGCCUUGAAUAUUGUGGAGGUGAGCGGAAUAUGUCAUGUAGCGGUGAAAUGCUUAGAUAUGACAUAGAACACCAAUUGCGAAGGCAGCUCACUACACAAUGAUUGACGCUGAGGCACGAAAGCGUGGGGAGCAAACAGG